ACUCAUACCUUGUAUGGGAAAAUGCCAUGUUGUAAAAGUGGUUUUCUGAGGGGGAAGGCUCAUCCAUUCUACUUUGGGUGUGCUAUUGAUCCCUGUGAUUUCUCUAAAUGUGGGGAAUUCCACUACAUAAUUUGUGUUAAAGGGAGCA
rnacentral:snRNA from 1 species